GACGAACGCUGGCGGCGCGCCUAACACAUGCAAGUCGAACGGAGCUGAGAGAAGCUUGCUUUUCUUAGCUUAGUGGCGAGCGGGUGAGUAACGCGUGAGUAACCUGCCCUGGAGUGGGGGACAACAGUUGGAAACGACUGCUAAUACCGCAUAAGCCCACGAUCCGGCAUCGGAUUGAGGGAAAAGGAUUUAUUCGCUUCAGGAUGGACUCGCGUCCAAUUAGCUAGUUGGUGAGGUAACGGCCCACCAAGGCGACGAUUGGUAGCCGGACUGAGAGGUUGAACGGCCACAUUGGGACUGAGACACGGCCCAGACUCCUACGGGAGGCAGCAGUGGGGGAUAUUGCACAAUGGGGGAAACCCUGAUGCAGCGACGCCGCGUGGAGGAAGAAGGUUUUCGGAUUGUAAACUCCUGUCGUGAGGGACGAUAAUGACGGUACCUAAAAAGAAAGCACCGGCUAACUACGUG
rnacentral:rRNA from 1 species